AUUGAACGCUGGCGGCAUGCUUUACACAUGCAAGUCGAACGGCAGCGGGGACUUCGGUCCGCCGGCGAGUGGCGAACGGGUGAGUAAUGCAUCGGAACGUGCCUAUCAGUGGGGGAUAACGCUUCGAAAGGAGUGCUAAUACCGCAUAUUCUCUGAGGAGAAAAGCAGGGGACCUUAGGGCCUUGCGCUGAUAGAGCGGCCGAUGUCGGAUUAGCUAGUUGGUGAGGUAAAGGCUCACCAAGGCGACGAUCCGUAGCGGGUCUGAGAGGAUGAUCCGCCACACUGGGACUGAGACACGGCCCAGACUCCUACGGGAGGCAGCAGUGGGGAAUUUUGGACAAUGGGCGAAAGCCUGAUCCAGCCAUGCCGCGUGAGUGAAGAAGGCCUUCGGGUUGUAAAGCUCUUUGUCCGGGAGGAAAUCCUGGCCUCUAAUACAGGUCGGGGAUGACAGUACUGGAAGAAUAAGCACCGGCUAACUACGUGCCAGCACGG
rnacentral:rRNA from 1 species